rnacentral:misc_RNA from 1 species
UACGGAGGGUGCAAGCGUUAAUCGGAAUUACUGGGCGUAAAGGGCGCGUAGGUGGCCUGUUAAGUCGGAUGUGAAAGCCCUGGGCUUAACCUGGGAAUUGCACCCGAUACUGGCAGGCUAGAGUAUGGCAGAGGGAAGUGGAAUUCCGGGUGUAGCGGUGAAAUGCGUAGAUAUCCGGAGGAACACCAGUGGCGAAGGCGACUUCCUGGGCCAAUACUGACACUGAGGCGCGAAAGCGUGGGGAGCAAACAGG